GUAACCCAGCUGCGCCAUUAACCUCUUCUUGUGAAUAACGUGUAAAGUAAGAUAUUGAUACUAGAUAUGGAAAACACAAAAAGGAGGAAAUUCAGCCUCCCAACCAGCUGUUCUCACCACUCCGAAUACAUAAAUAUAGAAGCAAAAGAGAAACAUGAGCAGUUUGGAAAUACUCUCGAGGAAUAGCAGACUACUUAGCCGUCCAGUCUGCAGCUAUAACUACUGCACAGGUUGCCAAAGAAUCCUGAGGAGCAUUUAUGGAAAGUGAACCUUAAAUACGCGCUGUGCAGCGAAGAGCCCUUUCAUGUUCAGACGGUGGAUAACGAGAGAUUGUCUGCAGCUGACUUCAGAAAAUCAUAAAGAGGAAGAACUGACAAAAGGAAAUGGAAGAGAAGAGCAUAUGAUCCAAGCAAAAUGAAAUGUAGCAACAUGAGAUACCGUGAGCACAGACUGGUGCAUGGGCUACGUCACUCUUCCUCCCAGUGCAUUAGCUCUCAGUAUGGCAGAUGAUAGCGAGCAUAGCUGGGUGGUCUGUUAGCAAAAUAUCAGCUGAAGUCACUCUGACUUCAGUAAUGCACUGCAACCAGAUGA